AUACUUAACUGGAGGGAAGAUAUUAUGGUCAAGAAAGCAGUUUCCCCGAGCAAGACUUACAUCCUUCACACCUGGGAGGUACUGAGCCAAGAUUUUCCCAAAUGCAGGAAAGUCGACUGCAUACUUUGUGGUCGUGGGAGAUGGUAUUCAUACGAUUAUCCA